UGGGGAAUUUUGGACAAUGGGCGAAAGCCUGAUCCAGCAAUGCCGCGUGUGUGAAGAAGGCCUUCGGGUUGUAAAGCACUUUUGUCCGGAAAGAAAUCCUUGGCUCUAAUACAGUCGGGGGAUGACGGUACCGGAAGAAUAAGCACCGGCUAACUACGUGCCAGCAGCCGCGGUAAUACGUAGGGUGCAAGCGUUAAUCGGAAUUACUGGGCGUAAAGCGUGCGCAGGCGGUUUGCUAAGACCGAUGUGAAAUCCCCGGGCUCAACCUGGGAACUGCAUUGGUGACUGGCAGGCUAGAGUAUGGCAGAGGGGGGUAGAAUUCCACGUGUAGCAGUGAAAUGCGUAGAGAUGUGGAGGAAUACCGAUGGCGAAGGCAGCCCCCUGGGCCAAUACUGACGCUCAUGCACGAAAGCGUGGGGAGCAAAACAGGAUUAGAUACCCUGGUAGUCCACGCCCUAAACGAUGUCAACUAGUUGUUGGGGAUUCAUUCCUUAGUAACGUAGCUAACGCGUGAAGUUGACCGCCUGGGGAGUACGGUCGCAAGAUUAAAACUCAAAGGAAUUGAGC
rnacentral:rRNA from 1 species